ACUACAGACCGCUCUGCCGCCUUACGGGGAGGAAAGUCCGGACAACACAGAGCGCCGCCCCACCUAACCGGUGGAAUUUCCGAAGCAGUUCGGAAAGAUAGAAAGUGUCACAGAAAAUUACCGCCUUAUUUCCGGGCAACCGGAAUGGGGUAAGGGUGAAAACGUGCGGUAAGAGCGCACGAUCCCGGCGGGCAACCGGCGGGAGGGAUAAACCUGGCGGGUUGAAAUGCCAUGUACACCUUGUUCCAUGCGCGGCUCGCGCAUCGCUCCGGUUUUCCGGGCGGCAAGGGGGGUAGGCAGCGCAAAUUCUUCCGGGCGACCGGCAAGAUCAGAUAAAUGGCAGAGGCCCCGGUUUGCGCCGGGGUGACAGAAUCCGGCUUACAGGUCUGUAGUUUUU
rnacentral:RNase_P_RNA from 1 species